CUGUUGGCAGCUCUCUCAGAC
rnacentral:miRNA from 1 species